AUGACGCUGGCGGCAGGCCUAACACAUGCAAGUCGAGCGGUAACAGAGAGUAGCUUGCUACUUUGCUGACGAGCGGCGGACGGGUGAGUAAUGCUUGGGAACAUGCCUUGAGGUGGGGGACAACAGUUGGAAACGACUGCUAAUACCGCAUAAUGUCUACGGACCAAAGGGGGCUUCGGCUCUCGCCUUUAGAUUGGCCCAAGUGGGAUUAGCUAGUUGGUGAGGUAAUGGCUCACCAAGGCGACGAUCCCUAGCUGGUUUGAGAGGAUGAUCAGCCACACUGGGACUGAGACACGGCCCAGACUCCUACGGGAGGCAGCAGUGGGGAAUAUUGCACAAUGGGCGCAAGCCUGAUGCAGCCAUGCCGCGUGUGUGAAGAAGGCCUUCGGGUUGUAAAGCACUUUCAGUCAGGAGGAAAGGUUAGUAGUUAAUACCUGCUAGCUGUGACGUUACUGACAGAAGAAGCACCGGCUAACUCCGUGCCAGCAGCCGCGGUAAUACGGAGGGUGCGAGCGUUAAUCGGAAUUACUGGGCGUAAAGCGUACGCAGGCGGGUUUGUUAAGCGAGAUGUGAAAGCCCCGGGCUCAACCUGGGAACUGCAUUUCGAACUGGCAAACUAGAGUGUGAUAGA
rnacentral:rRNA from 1 species